rnacentral:rRNA from 1 species
GACGAACCGUGCGAACGUUGUUCGGAUUCACUGGGCUUAAAGGGCGCGUAGGCGGGUUUUCAAGUCUGGGGUGAAAUCCGUCUCGCUCAACGAGAGAACUGCCCUGGAUACUGGGGACCUCGAGGGAGGUGAGGGCAUGUGGAACUUCCGGUGGAGCGGUGAAAUGCGUAGAUAUCGGAAGGAACGCCGGUGGCGAAGCGACGUGCUGGACCUCUUCUGACGCUGAGGAGCGAAAGCCAGGGGAGCAAACGGG